rnacentral:rRNA from 1 species
AGUGGACGCUGGCGGUAGGCCUAACACAUGCAAGUCGAACGGCAGCACAGUAAGAGCUUGCUCUUACGGGUGGCGAGUGGCGGACGGGUGAGGAAUACAUCGGAAUCUACUUUUUCGUGGGGGAUAACGUAGGGAAACUUACGCUAAUACCGCAUACGACCUACGGGUGAAAGCAGGGGAUCUUCGGACCUUGCGCGAUUGAAUGAGCCGAUGUCGGAUUAGCUAGUUGGCGGGGUAAAGGCCCACCAAGGCGACGAUCCGCAGCUGGUCUGAGAGGAUGAUCAGCCACACUGGAACUGAGACACGGUCCAGACUCCUACGGGAGGCAGCAGUGGGGAAUAUUGGACAAUGGGCGCAAGCCUGAUCCAGCCAUACCGCGUGGGUGAAGAAGGCCUUCGGGUUGUAAAGCCCUUUUGUUGGGAAAGAAAAGCAGCAGGUUAAUACCCCGCUGUUCUGACGGUACCCAAAGAAUAAGCACCGGCUAACUUCGUG